rnacentral:rRNA from 1 species
CCUACGGGUGGCAGCAGUGAGGAAUAUUGGUCAAUGGCCGAGAGGCUGAACCAGCCAAGUCGCGUGAGGGAAGACGGCCCUACGGGUUGUAAACCUCUUUUGUCGGGGAGCAAAGCGAACCACGUGUGGUUCAUUGAGAGUACCCGAAGAAAAAGCAUCGGCUAACUCCGUGCCAGCAGCCGCGGUAAUACGGAGGAUGCGAGCGUUAUCCGGAUUUAUUGGGUUUAAAGGGUGCGCAGGCGGAGGUGCAAGUCAGCGGUCAAAUUGCGGGGCUCAACCCCGUACUGCCGUUGAAACUGCAGCCCUUGAGUACAGUUGAGGUGGGCGGAAUUCGUGGUGUAGCGGUGAAAUGCUUAGAUAUCACGAAGAACUCCGAUUGCGAAGGCAGCUUACUAAACUGCCACUGACAUUGAUGCUCGAAAGUGUGGGUAUCAAACAGGAUUAGAUACCCCGGUAGUC